ACAUGAAAAACAAUUUUAAAAUAUCUAAGUUUUGUUUUUUAAAAAUGUAUUUGAAUUUUGAGAACAAUUUUAAAAAUAGUUUUAAAGUCUUUGGCCUCGUUUUUGUUAUUUCCACCCUGCAGUGGACGGAUGCUUCGCUGACAGGUGGGGGUCACCGGGAGACAGACGGGGUCACGGGAGGUCAGACGGAUCAUCGAACCUGCAGGACAAUUUUCUCACGUCUGCUUCAAGAGCCGCGGGAAAUAUUUUCACUUCCCACAAAUAAAAAUAACUAAAUUUAAAUUAAACAUGUUUUU